ACGCCUGCCCGGUGCUGGAAGGUUAAGGGGAUCUGUUAGAGCAAUCGAAGCAGUGAACUUAAGCCCCAGUAAACGGCGGCCGUAACUAUAACGGUCCUAAGGUAGCGAAAUUCCUUGUCGGGUAAGUUCCGACCCGAACGAAAGGCGUAACGAUUUGGGCACUGUCUCAACAACAGACUCGGUGAAAUUGUAAUUCCGGUGAAGAUGCCGGAUACCUGCGACAGGACGGAAAGACCCCAUGGAGCUUUACUGUAGCUUGACAUUGGGUCUUGGUACUACAU
rnacentral:rRNA from 1 species